UACGGGGGGUGCGAGCGUUGUCCGGAAUCACUGGGCGUAAAGGGCGCGUAGGUGGUUUGAUAAGCAUGUGGUGAAAGUCCGGGGCUCAACCCCGGAUCUGCCGUGUGGACUGUCAGACUCGAGGACUGUAGAGGCAGGCGGAAUUCCGGGUGUAGCGGUGGAAUGCGUAGAGAUCCGGAGGAACACCAGUGGCGAAGGCGACUUUCUGGCCUGUUCUUGACGCUGAGGCGCGAAAGCUAGGGGAGCAAACGGG
rnacentral:rRNA from 1 species